AUUUUAACCAUCAGUUUACACAUACUUCUCUCCUGUGAGACUGUGAAUUCUUCAAAAGCAGGUACUGUGUUUAAUGAAGUGUGCCCAGGACUUUGCUCAGUGACUGGAUGACACAGUAGGAGUAACAAGAAAGUUCACAUGGGUGAACCGUGGUAGGUGGACAUCGUCUCUCUCACCUCUUCCCAAAUCAAGGAUGAAGUACAUCUUCAUAAAUCCUCAUGUGAAUUAUUUUGCUACCUCUAGAAGCAUUUUCUAAAACAAGGUGCAGCAAUCAGUUGAGUGAAUUUGUCACCAGAGCUUAUGUUUUCUGAAAGAACCCUAUCCUCAGGCAGUUGUUCCUAAGAGGUGAGUUGUGGAUUUAGUUCACAUACCUUCCUUCGUGGCUUAAAAUGCUCCACAUGCCUGUCUCCCCAACAGCAUCAGAUCACCAUGCAGUAAAAUACCAAGUCAGAACAGCCAAUGCUGAAAAGAGUGACAGUUUCCUUUCAUGAUGCAAUGCACUUGGAGCCAGGGGACAGGGAGACAAUAACUGCAAGGAGAAGUGAUGACAACCCUACUUUAAUAUAGUAGUUCCUUUUGAAUUUUAUAGACUUACCCGUUAAUCUCUAGAAUUUUGAAAAAAUUCCUUAAGUGAUGUGAGCAAAUAACACUUUGCCUUGGGUUAGCCUUUUCCUUUCCCUUGAAGAUUCCACAAAUAUGUCAGCGCUGGAAAUGAUCCUUUGGCUUUGAACUAUGUGAAGACUGCAGAAGGACUGGUUGGUAAGCACCCACAUCCUGGGGUGAGAAUCACAUCCAGUUUAUACCUCCCUGUGCACACUUGUAUAAAACAACUAUAAGACACACGAGAGAUCUGGAAGCCAGUUCCUCAUAAGUAAGAAUUGGUCAGGCUGCAUUUGUAUCCUGGGUCCACAAGACAUCGUUUCCUUAAAACCAAUCCCCCUGAUUUUGCUAAGUGUCUGCAAGCCUAAUAUUUCAUGGAUGUUUGACAAGGACCCCGUCUUUAGCUGAACUAAGGAGAAAGUCCUGCAACACACACAUGGAGCUCAGCAAACGGAGGAUGUAGUAGCCUUGAAGAGGCAAGAUGCUUCAGUUCUACAGCUGCAAGGAAAUCAAUUCUGACAACAACCACGUGUGCUUGGAAGACCACCACCACCAUCACCACCACCACCACCCCCCGCCCCGCCCCUGCCCCUCUGAGCCUCAGAUGGGACGCUAGACCCUCCCUGAUUAUAGUCUGCGAGACACUGAACCUGGACUCCUGGUCUAUGGGAGCUGUUUUAAGUUUUAAGCUGUUAAUUUUUGGUAAUUAGUUAUGCAGCAAAUGGCUGUGUUGUUAUUCCCAUCCCCCUCUUCCCACCUGUCUCCUUUAAAUAAAAACCAGCAUUUCAGGUCUGAACUGUCAUGACUCCAAUCUGCUUGUCAAGAUGGACUCUAAGUAGAGUCAGGUGAAGAGGCCAGGUUAGCUAUAUUCCUUCUUAUUUUCCAUCCUUCAGUCAUGGCCUGAGCCUUUUCCUUCCCUGAAAUCUAAUGAGAAUCACUCCUCAGCUGAUUAUCAUGGACUCGAUGGCUUGUCAUUAAGAAUACCUCAGCCACAGGCAGCAGUGAGAAGAGAAGUGAAGGAGGAGGGGUGUUUAGGAAAUGCCUGGUCCUGAGGGCGGAAGCAGUUUUGAAGUUGCACCUGCUCUGACAGAAAACUCGAGUGUAAGACUUACUGAUGUCAUUCUCCUCAGUUCUUCAUGGACGUAGGACUGUCAUGGGGAAAUUAGGCAAAGAUUCUGCUUUGGCAGGAAGAACUAUGGCUCCCUGCCCACAUCCCUUCGUUCAGCUCCCUCCCCCAUUGGCCAGAAUACACCAAGUUGUCAGCACCAGCCGGCCCGUGGCUAUUCAGAAUGUCUCUGGAAACCAUGAAGGCUAGGAGGCAUGAGAUCUGGGUGCUGGGGCUGGUGAGUCCUCUAGUAACCAACCCAACUGUAAAGAAGUAAUAAUAUAUGGCAUCUGCAUAAUGGUCUACGGCUUCCAACUUGCUUUAAGCUCUAUUUAUCCUUUGGGUCUCUCAUCAGCCCUGGAAGAAAAGCAGUUGUCUUUGUCAGGCCUCUGAGCCCAAGCUGAGCCAUCAUGUCCCCUGUGACCUGCACGUACAC
rnacentral:lncRNA from 1 species